ACGAACGCUGGCGGCGUGCUUAACACAUGCAAGUCGAACGGUGAAGCGCCUUCCUUUUUGGUGGGUGUGGAUGAGUGGCGAACGGGUGAGUAACACGUGAGUAACCUGCCCCCUUCUUCUGGAUAACCGCAUGAAAGUGUGGCUAAUGCGGGAUAUUCUGGGUCUGUCGCAUGAUGGGUCUGGGAAAGAUAUUGUUUCGGUGGGGGAUGGGCUCGCGGCCUAUCAGCUUGUUGGUGGGGUGAUGGCCUACCAAGGCGGUGACGGGUAGCCGGCCUGAGAGGGUGGCCGGCAACACGGGGACUGAGACACGGCCCAGACUCCUACGGGAGGCAGCAGGGGGGAAUAUUGCACAAUGGGCGCAAGCCUGAUGCAGCGACGCCGCGUGAGGGAUGGAGGCCUUCGGGUUGUGAACCUCUUUCGCCAGUGAAGCAGGCCUGCCUCGUUUGUGGGUGGGUUGACGGUAGCUGGAAAAGAAGCGCCGGCUAACUACGUG
rnacentral:rRNA from 1 species